UAUAGGUACUCUCACUAGAAGUGGCCGUUAGAUAUUCAUCUGUUCACAGUUAGACAAACUGUCUAUAAAUGGAGAUGAUUUAGUACUAUAGGUACUCUCACUAGAAGUGGCCGUUAGAUAUUCAUCUGUCCACAGUUAGACAAACUGUCUAUAAAUGGAGAUGAUUUAGUACUAUAGGUACUCUCACUAGAAGUGGCCGUUAGAUAUUCAUCUGUCCACAGUUAGACAAACUGUCUAUAAAUGGAGAUGAUUUAGUACUAUAGGUACUCUCUCUAGAAGUGGCCGUUAGAUAUUCAUCUGUCCACAGUGAGACAAACUGUCUAUAAAUGGAGAUGAUUUAGUACUAUAGGUACUCUCACUAGAAGUGGCCGUUAGAUAUUCAUCUGUCCACAGUGAG